GACGAACGCUGGCGGCGUGCUUAACACAUGCAAGUCGAACGGAAAGGCCCUGCUUUUGUGGGGUGCUCGAGUGGCGAACGGGUGAGUAACACGUGAGUAACCUGCCCUUGACUUUGGGAUAACUUCAGGAAACUGGGGCUAAUACCGGAUAGGAGCUCCUGCUGCAUGGUGGGGGUUGGAAAGUUUCGGCGGUUGGGGAUGGACUCGCGGCUUAUCAGCUUGUUGGUGGGGUAGUGGCUUACCAAGGCUUUGACGGGUAGCCGGCCUGAGAGGGUGACCGGCCACAUUGGGACUGAAAUGCUGCCCAGACUCCUACGGGAGGCAGCAGUGGGGAAUAUUGCACAAUGGGCGGAAGCCUGAUGCAGCAACGCCGCGUGAGGGGUGACGGCAUUCGGGUUGGAAACCGCUUUCGCCUGUGACGAAACGUGAGUGACGGUAAUGGGUAAAGAAGCACCGGCUAACUACGUG
rnacentral:rRNA from 1 species